UGACAAUCGGGCAAAGGAAUGAUGGUAAUU
rnacentral:piRNA from 1 species